rnacentral:rRNA from 1 species
AUUGAACGCUGGCGGCAGGCCUAACACAUGCAAGUCGAACGGUAACAGGAAGCAGCUUGCUGCUUUGCUGACGAGUGGCGGACGGGUGAGUAAUGUCUGGGAAACUGCCUGAUGGAGGGGGAUAACUACUGGAAACGGUAGCUAAUACCGCAUAACGUCGCAAGACCAAAGAGGGGGACCUUCGGGCCUCUUGCCAUCGGAUGUGCCCAGAUGGGAUUAGCUAGUAGGUGGGGUAACGGCUCACCUAGGCGACGAUCCCUAGCUGGUCUGAGAGGAUGACCAGCCACACUAGAACUGAGACACGGUCCAGACUCCUACGGGAGGCAGCAGUGGGGAAUAUUGCACAAUGGGCGCAAGCCUGAUGCAGCCAUGCCGCGUGUAUGAAGAAGGCCUUCGGGUUGUAAAGUACUUUCAGCGGGGAGGAAGGGAGUAAAGUUAAUACCUUUGCUCAUUGACGUUACCCGCAGAAGAAGCACCGGCUAACUCCGUG